rnacentral:rRNA from 1 species
ACUCCUACGGGAGGCAGCAGUAGGGAAUUUUCCACAAUGGACGAAAGUCUGAUGGAGCAACGCCGCGUGCAGGAUGAAUGCCUUCGGGUUGUAAACUGCCUUUAUCUGUGACGAAUAUGACGGUAGCAGAUGAAUAAGGAUCGGCUAACUCCGUGCCAGCAGCCGCGGUAAU